rnacentral:rRNA from 1 species
CUCAACUCCAGACCAGCAAGAAAAACCGCAUAGAUUGAGUCUGUUCGGGGUAGCCGGAAUUCUCGGUGGAGGGGUGAAAUCCGUAGAUAUCGAGAGGAACGCCAAUCGCGAAGGCAAGUUACUAGAACAUGACUGACGCUCAGGGACGAAAGCUAGGGUAGCAAAAGGGAUUAGAGACCCCUGUAGUCCUAGCCGUAAACGAUCUUUGCUAGAUGCCCCUCCUUAGGGGGGGUGACGCAAGCUAACGCGUUAAGCAAAGCGCCUGGGGAGUACGGCCGCAAGGCUAAAACUCAAAGGAAUUGACGGGGGAACGCACAACCGGUGGAGCAUGUGGUUUAAUUCGAUACAAAGCGAAAAACCUUACCCGGGUUUGACAUGUACCUGCACGUUCUGGGAAACCAGAAUUUCUUCGAGAGUGG